UUCAAUCAUUGGCUCAGUGGUUAGAGCGUAGGUCUCGUAACCGCGAAAGGUUGCGGCAUCGAAUCUCGCUAGAGGCUGAAA
rnacentral:tRNA from 1 species